GAUGAACGCUGGCGGCGUGCCUAAUACAUGCAAGUCGAGCGAACGGACGAGAAGCUUGCUUUUCUGAUGUUAGCGGCGGACGGGUGAGUAACACGUGGAUAACCUACCUAUAAGACUGGGAUAACUUCGGGAAACCGGAGCUAAUACCGGAUAAUAUUUUGAACCGCAUGGUUCAAAAGUGAAAGACGGUCUUGCUGUCACUUAUAGAUGGAUCCGCGCUGCAUUAGCUAGUUGGUAAGGUAACGGCUUACCAAGGCAACGAUGCAUAGCCGACCUGAGGGGGUGAUCGGCCACACUGGAACUGAGACACGGCCCAGACUCCUACGGGAGGCAGCAGUAGGGAAUCUUCCGCAAUGGGCGAAAGCCUGACGGAGCAACGCCGCGUGAGUGAUGAAGGUCUUCGGAUCGUAAAACUCUGUUAUUAGGGAAGAACAUAUGUGUAAGUAACUGUGCACAUCUUGACGGUACCUAAUCAGAAAGCCACGGCUAACUACGUG
rnacentral:rRNA from 1 species